rnacentral:lncRNA from 1 species
CGACAAUCAAAUAAUACUCUUUACAUCAAAACUGUUUUAGAACAUUUUUUUAGCUACAAAUGACCAACUGUUUCUCUCAUCCAAUUAAUUAAUUAAUUAAUUAAUUAAUUAAAAUAGUAAUCCCUAAUAUUAAUAGGAAUAAAAAAAAGUUAUUUUCUGCUGCAGUUUAAAUUCCAAAAACAAAUAUCACAUGCACUCUCUCUCAUUCACUCCCUCUCUCACAUUCACAAACACAUACAUACAUGCAAACAAACAAACCCAAACAUGCACCGAAAUAUCCUCCACAAACUCGAAGCUGUGACGAAGUUCCCUCAAGCGAAGAUGCUAAGAAACAUCGUAACCAAGGCCGUGGAGUUGGCCGGAGCAGCAACUUCGAGGAAGCGGGGUCCGACGCACUGCGUCAGAGUCGCCGAGGAAAAGCCAUUUUCUCAUUUCCUUUCCAUUCGGAUGUGGUUGUCUGCACAACAACAUUACCAUCCUGCCAAACUCAGGCCUUUUUGCAGUCCCUUCCGCAGCUUCCAGAAGCUUGCAAAAAUGGAAAAGUAGUACUCUUCCGCUCUGUUCUGUGCAAAGUCGGCGAAACUGCAUGUGGGUGCAUAUGGUACGAAGGUAGUAAAAGUGUUUCCAAAACCAGGUUCGUUGACUGCUAUAUCUAUGGUGAAAAAGUCUGUGAAUUGCACGGACAAAGCAUUCGGAGCUGUGGUCGUACACCUAACCGUUUCAAGGAUUGACCUCUCCUUCGGAGCAAGCAGCAGAUCGAAUAUAGAAAGCAUGGGCCCACUCCUCUUAACCUUUCUGGAUGCUUCGUCGUCAAAACAACCACAACAGUAAUGCCAAGUGGUCCGUGAAGCAAGAUGUGAAAGCCAGCUUCCCACGUCAACCAUCUCUCGUCCCACCUACUCCACAUUACCUUUUUCCAGGUCCAUCGAUAGGAAACUACCACACAUCUAUAUAUAUAUAUAUAUAUAUAUAUAUAUCUCGCACCUAUCUAUCACGACGAUGUGAAUCAAUUUAUUCAUUUCUAACAGCAGUGACCAUCAGAACGCCACUACGUACCACCAAUCCUUGACCGUGAUUUGAACUUGGACAUGGUUGCAAUG